UAGGGAAUCUUCCACAAUAGACGAAAGUCUGAUGGAGCAACGCCGCGUGAGUGAUGAAGGGUUUCGGCUCGUAAAACUCUGUUGUUGGAGAAGAACGGGUGUCAGAGUAACUGUUGACAUCGUGACGGUAUCCAACCAGAAAGCCACGGCUAACUACGUGCCAGCAGCCGCGGUAAUACGUAGGUGGCAAGCGUUGUCCGGAUUUAUUGGGCGUAAAGCGAGCGCAGGCGGUUUUUUAGGUCUGAUGUGAAAGCCUUCGGCUUAACCGGAGAAGUGCAUCGGAAACCGGGAGACUUGAGUGCAGAAGAGGACAGUGGAACUCCAUGUGUAGCGGUGAAAUGCGUAGAUAUAUGGAAGAACACCAGUGGCGAAGGCGGCUGUCUGGUCUGCAACUGACGCUGAGGCUCGAAAGCAUGGGUAGCGAACAGGAUUAGAUACCCUGGUAGUCCAUGCCGUAAACGAUGAGUGCUAAGUGUUGGAGGGUUUCCGCCCUUCAGUGCUGCAGCUAACGCAUUAAGCACUCCGCCUGGGGAGUACGACCGCAAGGUUGAAAC
rnacentral:rRNA from 1 species